GAUAAACGCUGGCGGCGUGCCUAAUACAUGCAAGUCGAUCGAUAGAAGUCCAGCUUGCUGGACGGAAAUAGAGGCGAACGGGUGAGUAAUACGUAAGCAACCUGCCCACGAAGACCGGGAUAAUCCCUGGAAACGGGGACUAAGACCGGAUAGGUACACAGACCGCAUGAUCUGUGUAUUAAAGGUGAGAGACACUGGUGGAUGGGCUUACGGUGCAUUAGCUGGAUGGUGAGGUAACGGCCCACCAUGGCGAUGAUGCAUAGCCGGGCUGAGAGGAUGAACGGCCACAUUGGGACUGAGACACGGCCCAGACUCCUACGGGAGGCAGCAGUAGGGAAUUUUCGGCAAUGGGGGCAACCCUGACCGAGCAACGCCGCGUGAGUGAUGAAGGUCUUCGGAUUGUAAAGCUCUGUUGUAAGGGAAGAACGGCAUCUAGAGAAUAGAUGAGUGACGGUACCUUACCAGAAAGCUACGGCUAACUACGUGCCAGCAGCCGCCGUAAAAC
rnacentral:rRNA from 1 species